ACCCUGCGCCUGCGCACCUCGAACUCCCUGCUUCCCGAGAUGGGAUUGCAGAGCGCGGGUUUUUGACAAGGGCAUGCGCGUAAACCCAACCACAGAUGGAGGAGGAGGGCGAUCACGAGGUGCUUGUCCCUGCCGCCUAGCAACCCCGUCAUGCCGUGGUCUCACCCGCCCUCCCCCUAGAAUCCGCUUCUUUGUGCCUACAGACCUCCCCUCCCCCCCUUAUUUUCAAUCCUACGGUCCAAUUCCAUCACCAAGGAGGAAUGGGAAAUGCUCAUCACUGGAAGAGCUACUGCUAGUCAAGUCAACAAUACUGAGCUAGAUGGACCAAUGGUCUGAGUGACUCAGUAUAAGACAGCACCUUAUGUUCCCAAACAAGAUUGACAUUUUUGUAAAUCAGUUAAACAUAUACAAAGUCAAGUGAAAUGGAUUCCAGAAAGAGAACUAUUUACCAAAUUCAUGAUUACUUUAUACGGGCGCUGACGUCCUGCUGCAUCACUGCACGGAGCCCCUCGGAAAUGAACUUUUGUGAUGGAACAAACAUGAGCCUGAAGAAAAGCAGCUUCUGUUACACCGAUAUGUUAAAUAUCAAAAAGGAAUCACUGUGUAAUCCAUGCCCACAAAAAUAAACUUUAUGGAACACAAGAAACAAAUCAGCUGUCUUUCUUUUACCUUAGAUAAGCCUAGGCAGGAAUAAUCAUAGCCGUACCAUGGAACACCCAUCACAAUCUUCUUUGGAUUA